CCUUUACACUGCACGCAAGUGCGAUAAGGGGACUCCGAGUGUGUGGGCAUAGAGCCCACGCUUUUGUGUACCGUAAGGUGGUACACGAAUAAGAGCUGGGCAAGACCGGUGCCAGCCGCCGCGGUAAUACCGGCAGCUCAAGUGAUGGCCGAUUUUAUUGGGCCUAAAGCGUCCGUAGCCGGCCGGGCAAGUCCGUUGGGAAAUCUGUCAGCUUAACGAACAGGCGUCCAGCGGAAACUGCUCGGCUUGGGACCGAAAGACCUGAGGGGUACGUCCGGGGUAGGAGUGAAAUCCUGUAAUCCUGGACGGACCGCCGAUGGGGUUAGCACCUCAGGAGGACGGAUCCGACGGUGAGGGAAGAAAGCCAGGGUCUCGAACAUGAUUAGAUAACCACG
rnacentral:rRNA from 1 species